UCAGUCAGAAGAAAUGAAAACAAGAAUGGAAGAUUGGGAAGAGAUGGCAUAGUGUGGAUCUGCCUGAAAAACAUGCACAAGACCACUUUGCCUCCAAACUCAAUUUCAAAAUCUAUGGAAGCUGAAUCCCAAGAAUGCCUGCAGACUCAAGGGUUAUCCAUGGGAGGACAUGGCACCAAAUCUCAUGAGAGUGACAAUAAGCUAGAACAGAAGUUUUGGAAAGCCAAAGAAAAGACUGUAACUGCACACAAUAAACAGAAAACAUUUGUGCUUUCUGUCUCCAUCUAUCACCCAAACAGUCAAACCUGGAGAAAACUACUUUUCCUCUCUACACCAACAUGCAUGCUAUUUGCAUAACACCUAACACAAGGAAGUGAAGCAAUUUGCUCAAGAUAAUGUGUCUAGUCAUCAAAAGGACUGGUCAGUGCCUCAAUCUUGAUGAUGAUGGAUACUGCUUAUUGGAUACUCUCACAACUCAACAAUCCAAACACCUUACCAUGUUCCACAAUGACCUGCUUAAUCUGACCCCUGGCACAUCUCAAAUCACAGUCUCUGUCUGUAGUAGAUUAAAAAAAUGGACACAUACUUUGCAAUACCACCCAUCAAGAGAUUAAGUAACUUUCUUCAUCCCUUGAAUCUAGUGGGCUCUUGUGACUACCAAUAGAAUUUGGUGGAAGUGACACUGUGCCUUCUGCAACAAGGCACCUGUGCCGAAGGAGACUUUUAGCCUCUGCCCUUGCCUCCCUGAAUAGUGCCUCCAUGUGAAGAAGGCCAAGCUAACCUACUGGAGACAUGGCUCCACCAAGAACCAG
rnacentral:lncRNA from 1 species